rnacentral:lncRNA from 1 species
CACUCAGAGAGAAGGUGGUGAUAAGCAGAGUGAAGGAUUCACAACAAGAGGAACAACAGCCUCCAAAGAGUCUGGACUGAAGGACACCAUCCUCAGGGCUGUUUUCCUUUUUUUUAAAACUGAUGAAGCAAAACUUGAGAAGUUCUGGUGAGGCCUUUACUGUUUUCUACAAAGAUACUUCAUGUAGUUUCUGUUUAUUGGAUUUAAAGGGAUAUUCCAGUGUAAAAUUAAUUUAGGGCCAAACACACCCUAACACUGAGUUACAAACCACCUCGAGAGAUGAAUGUUGCCGACCGCUUGCUUCUCUAGUUAUACCAAAUUUAGUAACGACCACAUGAUAGCAAUACACAGCGGUCUGAGGAGCCAUAAACAAACCUCAACCAAAACCAAAGAAGAAAAAACAGUCAUGAUCUGUGAGUCAAGAUUUCCCCUCAAACCACCUUAUUCAUAUCCAUCAUUCAGAAAAACAUAUUUACUGAUAAUUAUUUUUACAAACUGUAAUGCAGGGGAUUAAAUACAUAAAAGCAGACUCUACAUUCUUAAAAAAAUAGUAUUUUGAUGUUUUUUUGUUAAAACUUAUUCAAACUUAUUCAAUAAUCGUGUGGUGAGGAAAAGUGGGUCAAGAAAUAUGAAGGAGCGCUGUUGCCCUCUGCUGGUCAAACGUCGAACAGGACACUCUGACCUGAAUGAAAAAGACUGGAAAUACUGUGACUCAGCAGAGAUGUCAUAUCAUAUGACAGGAUAUAUUACAGAUUUAAUAAUACAAAUUUGUUUGGUAUAAAUCCCUCCCAAUAAUCUCACAGCAUUUAAGGUUUAUUAUUAUUAUUUUAAGGUUUUCAAUUCAUUAUCAUUUACUCCAAAUCAUAAAUCAUUUCUCAAUUGCAGGUUCAGUCAAAAUAAAAACAAUCAGAUAUUUAUUCCAAACCAGGCAGCUAUAUUUAGAAAAUCAGAUGGUCGCUGAUAUAUUUUAAGUGUAACAAAACACAUUACUAAUACUGACAUGUCAAUGCAUAAGCAGCCUUUUAACAUUGCACAUGCUCAACGUGGAGUGAGUUUGCUUCACUUUGUGGGGUUAUAGAAUAAGUGUUUGAGGAUUAUAAACUAAUGAAAAGAUAUUUGGUAGGUUCAUUUGCACUAUCAGUUGAAAUAAUUAAUGUUCCUUUGUUAAACAUUCACUUCUAUAAUUCCUCCCUCUGUUCCGAAACACUUUCAGGCACACACAUUUUCCUUGCUUUAAGCCCUGCUAAUACAUCAACAUUAUAAAGGUUUUUCACCUAAAUACUUAAUAACCUUAAAAAUAUCAAUUUCUGUAUGAAUAUACAAUCACUGACAGUUUAUGAGGGCAAGUCAAUGUGGUACAAUCUUAAUUUGUAGAAACAAGAAAGUGCAAUAAAUGCUGCGAGUCUUUGACAGGAAAAAUAAUAAAGGGAAUUAGUGUAUGUGAUUAACAAAAUACACACUCAUUCAAAUUACCUUUGACAAAUUAGGCUACAACCUGCCAGCACAUUAUCACCAGAGUGGUGAAAACAGAUGUUGAGAGGCAGCUGAGGGCGGCAGUAGCUCAGGAGGUAGAGCGGUUGUCCAAUAUCUAAAAGGUUGGUGGUUCAAUUCCCCCCAUCCCUAGUCUGUCCAUUGUGUCCUUGGGGUAGACACUUAACCCACCUUGUUCCCAGUGUGUGUCCUCCACUGGUGCAUGAUUGUGGGUGAUGUUUGGAGCGGCUGUGACUACUAAGGUAGUUUACCACCGCCAGGGUGUGACUGUGUGAAUGAAUGAUGUCUUCGAUGUAAAGAGCUUUGAGGGUCUCUGAUAAAGUGCUUGAAAAUCUAAUGACUUAUCAUUAUCAGUCUGACUCGGUGCUACUGAAAGAAAUUAGUUUGUAUGAUUAAAUAAAAAAUUUACACUUCAAGAUAUGGUGGUGGUUUGAGGGGGGUGGGUGGAAAAUUGGCUGAGGUUAAUUUUGUUAUCAGGUUAGUAGAAUCUGUUGUAGCUGGGAUAGAUGGUGUUCGUCUGAGCUGGGGUGGAGAUGGAGUUAUAUCUGUGUGUCUUCUUGCUUCAUGAAGUCUGGUUUAUGCAGUGGUAUGUCUGACAGUGGGCACUGAUAAUCCUACUGAGGCUGGGAACCUGGGUCACACCUGUGAUUGUAUAAAAACAAACAAAACAAAAAAACAGACAUCAGGUCACCAAACUCUAAAUAUGUUCUUGCCUCACUUAAUUUCUCAAAUUGAUUAGCAUGCAACAUUAACUUACAACUGUUUUAAUAUUGUCAUGAUCCAGGGCUGUUUCCUUGUGUUUUGGUUGUCUGUGUGCUCUCUCUCUCUUUCUCUUCCUGCAGCACUGGAGCAUGGCAGGGGGCGGAGCUGACUCGGCUGAUCAGGAACACACCUGCACCUCAUUGUGCUCAUCAGCUAGCCUUUAAAAGCCAGAUUCCUGUCCUGCUCUUUGCCAGAUGAUUUUCUCAGUCUUCCUCUCAAGCUGACUCACGCUGCCUCUCGUGUCCUCCUGCUUGUGCCUCCAGUCACUUUGUUUCAGUUGUUUUGUACUUCGUAGUUCUAGUUUUUUCCCUCAAAAUUUUCUGAGAUGAUUUUCAGUUUGUCUUUUGUUUCCCGUUGAACUUUCUAGUUGACUUUAUAUUCCUUUGUUACUUGCCCCACGUGGUAUAUUUGAGUUGUACUUUUAGUGUCAGAGGUUGUUUGAGUUUUUCUGUAAUUUUUCCUGACACUUGUUAUUCUUUGUUUUUAGUAGCUGUCCGUGCUUCCCGAGCCUUUUUACCCUGUGUAGUGAUUUUAUUGUUUUUUUCUUCUCGAUAUUUUUG